ACCGACUAAGCACUAUCCUAAUACAGAUUACAAAUUGAUUGAGGAAAGAAAGAGAAAAGAGAUCAGAAGAAAAGAUCAUACAAAGGGGUUCUUAUAGAGAAGGAAUUGGAACAGAAGAAUAUUGGAGGUCACGCAACCGCGGGGCGCGGGGUGGAAGAAUGUUAAGGGUUACACAGAGGAAUCAUUCGGGACUACACAAUCAUGGAGUGGAAUCGGGAGGAAAGAAGUGUUCAUAAGCGCGUGUGAGCACAUGAGCGGGCGAGCGGUAGGGAGUUGAUUGCGUAAGUUAACUACUAACAGAUGCUAACCCAUCACAAUCAGCUUUCUCAUGUGUUUUCUUCAAAAGAAUAAAUCUUUAUAUUCUUUUCAUAUUAUUUUCUUAUAGUGUUGUCAUCUUACUAGUUAUAUUUUUUCAUUGUCAUCAUCCACUAAAGCCCA
rnacentral:sRNA from 2 species